GACAAUCAAAGUAGUCUGACACCACCCCAUGCCGAGAGAAGAGUAGUGGAUAAGCCUGCAGGUUUGGUUUCAGGAACUUCAUGAAGGUCUCUUGCUGACUCCAUUACACUACCAGACACUUACCUCCAUGUCAGGGUGAAUGUUUAUUAGGCAGGAGGGAAGAUAAACAGGUGUUAGAGAAGGUUGCUGAGGGGAGGUCUCUAAAUCCACUCCCCACCCUGAGGCUGGGUAAAGCUUCUGUGCAGACCCAGCAAACCUGGCACCACUGAGCCAAGUAAAACCAGCAGUUAUGCCAGCUGAAGCACAACCUCCCAAUCGUUAGUGAGGCAGUGCCCACAGGCUUGUGUUCCUUUCAUAAGGCCGUCCUGGAGCCCAAGGGCUUUGGGUACAACAGCGGCAGUGCCUCUUGCCAUACCUGCCCCUCAAGCUCACAAUACUUGCUGUCAGAUCAAGUAAGCUGAGAACAUUAGAUGUACUUGGAAAGGACUGGUCAGAAGCCAUUUCUUCUGAUCAUUUCCCUUCCUACUCACCAAUGAGACACUCAGGAGCCCACACGGUCUCUGUGCGACCUGGGGGCCCCCGAGUGCUGCCCACUCCCCCACAAGUGGUGUUCCUUGUAGCUGCUGCUGUCUGCCUGUUGGUUUGGGAGAGCCCUCGGGGGCCCCAGAGGAGCACUUUCCUAAGGGUGAUCGUCUGGCCCUGCUGGAUGAAGAGGAUGCUGACCCCAUUGCCUUGCCCCUUCUCUGUUCUUUCCCCUCUUGCUUUUUCUACUUAAAAUGCCUGCCAGUGACUUUUUAAGUUUAUCCCAAAUAAGAUCUCUAUGUAAUUCAAAAGCCCAAAGCCAGUGAUCCAGUCAGAAUUAUAACCGGGCUCUGCCCCUCCCCACUGGUGUGUGCCUCAGUAUUUAGACUUGGAUUGCUGACUGCAAGUGUCUUUAAAGGAGAGAAAUGCAUGCUGCUCUUUGGCUUUUUCUGCCCCACUCUUCUAGAAAUGAUUCAGCAGACUAGGACCUGUCACUGCAAAGCAGCAGCAGGUGACAAAGGACAUGCUUCUCCACAGCCUGCUUCCCUUCCCUGUCACAGGAGUGCUUCCUACAGCAGGUGUGAGGAAGUUUUCACCAGAAACAGUCUGCUGACAGAGGAUGGAGGGGCUUUGCUGCUCUGCUCGUGGCAUGGCUCCAGGAAUUUCUUCUGGAACCCAGCCUCCACCAUCUUAGAAUGAGAGCAAACCUGUCCUUGGCUCAGGUGGCUGAAAUCAGAGAGGACAAAAAUUCCCAUUUGCCUAGAAAAGUGCUGGGCAGAAUCCAGUUUGGAAAAUUACUAAUCCACUUGGUCGAAACUGGCUGUUUCCUACGGCUGACCUAUUUGUGGUAUGCCAACUGGACUGCUUCCUAAACAGGGCAAGAGAAGUGCGAACUAUUUUUAUACGAACGCCUUAGCCUGUUUGGCCCCAUGAGAACUCUUUACACACACACACACACACACACACACACACACACACUCUCUCUCUCUCUCUCUCUCUUGUGUUGUGGCAUGAUUGCACUGAAUGCUGCAACACCCAGUUUACAGUGAAAUGUUUUCAGUGACCAAUGUCAGAAGUGGCUUGCUUCUGGCCUAACCUCAUUAAUGGCCAGCAUGUACCCUUUUCCAUGGAAGCCUUGGGACAGACAUCCUCUUUCCUCUUUCUAGUGGAGCUCCAAGUUUUUCCCUUCAGGGGAGGAAUGCCUAUGAUCUAUAUAAACUAUUGCCACUCACAGCUUCUGAAGGAUUCUAGCAUUUCAGUUACAGCUUUCUUCUGUCCCCCCGGACCUGUGAACUAAGGAGACAGCCUCACCAAGUUCCUGCCUUUGUGCAGAGACAGAAUAAGUGACCUCACUGCAACAGAGCUGCAGACAGGCUGAGGCAGUGGGUGCCAGAUUGGAUCUCAGGCAUGGGGCCUGGAUGGUCAGAGCUGUCCUCUGCAGUGGGCUCCAUCUCAGGGUCUACUGUGCCCAGAAGAGGUGCCACUAACCUUACUUUCUCCACAAUUGCGGAUGUGGACCUCUUCAAAGACAGCAUUCCUUCUGCGAGAACCAGCUGGAGAUGUGAGUAUUUCUUCAUGAUCGCUUCUUCCAGUGCAUGGCGGCCUACAGUGGCAGGAGGCAGGCCCAGUAUCAUAACAGUUCUGGCAGCUCUUAGCCACCCAACUUCAGUGUUUGCUCCCUACACCUGUCCGCUUCCCACCCCCGAGCCAGGCCUUUCUUGUGUCUGCCACGCUGGACGUGCAAACAGCAGACCCUUUCAUUAAUGUCAUCUCUUCAUUCUGACUAAAUCACGAGGUUUUUUUUAUCUGAAGGAAACUAUAUCCAGAUUUUUUUUUUAAAGAAUGACUUUUACUUUAUACUCUUGCUCAGGCUCAAACCCACAGGGAGGCUGCCCUUUCCACAUCCAUGAGCUGCUGGUGAGCUGCGGUUAAAGUGUGUGAAUACACGGAGACUCUGGUCUGCUCUUGGACCACUGCUUGCUGUAUUGUCAGUGUCUUAAGCAGCUCACUGUGUGCUGUGGGUUAAUGGAGUAUAACUGUGCCCCAGCUAGGGUGCAUGGUGGCAAAAUCAUUAUCUGGUUGUUGCUAGGGGCACAACUGAAUUUAACUGGCUGUAGAAAUGGAACAAAUAUAGCCUAAUUUAAUUCCCACUGGGUCAGCAUGUGCAGCUUUUCUUUGCCCAGUAAGAUUUGGUUAGGCCUGUCCCUGACAGACAAGGUCCUUGUGGACUGUGCUUGCCUAGCCAGGGAGCAGGGCAAGACAGAAAUGGCCAACUAGGGACAAGUGGCCUCUGGGGAGGUCUGAGCUAAGGAAUACAGGGAACCUCCCACCACUACCAAGAAAGUUGUUCUUGACAAGACUUGUCUAAUGAAGACUAUUUUUAUGGCCCCACUACAAAGCACAUCAGUCUCCAUGGCCUGACCCUGUUCUACUUUGAAAGAGAGCAACUAUCUUGAGAGGCUUCCUAGGGAUGGUGAAAUGUACACAGGAGGUAUCCCAGAGCUCUAGACAGAAGCAUUUGCAGUGAUAUGAAUCACCCCCUGGGCACUCACUUGCCUUGUGCCUUUCUGCAGGUCAGCCCCUCAAAGCCACAUUCCUUAUCCACAACCCAGUGACUAUAGUUAACAGUGACUGUACAGCCUUUUGGGAGGAUGAGCUCAAGAGUGCUAAUCAGGCCUGGGGUCAGUGUGCCACAGAUACCACAGAGCAUCACUGUCCUGAGCCUCCUGAGCGGCAGGGACCUGGUCCCAUCCUUCCCUGUCCUCAUCUUCCAUGGUCACCUCCAUCUGCCUCUGCCCACACAGCAUACUAAUUUGGUUGCUAGUGCUGAGUCUUCCUUUAAUCUUUUCAAUGGGUAUUUCCCAUGAAAGUGCACAAAUUAUAGUUGUCUUCCUUGCAGUCCUCACCCUAUGAUCACCAUUAAGUUUAUUCUUCAUGUAUCUUUCCAGAUAUUGUACAAAGACUCACAGGUUUACAUGUAAUCUUUCGCCCUUUUUGUUCAUGAUAGAAAGGAAUUCAAGAGACAUUCCUACACAUGGAGAUAGAACCAUCCACAAGUCAGAACAUCUAUAAAGAGAGGCCAGAAUUGGGAGAUAUUUUUGCAAUGACAUUCCCUUUGAAGAAGGCCUGUUUCUACUUGGUUCCAACACUCUAGAAUUUUAGUUUCCUGUAUAAAACAGAAACCAGUCCUUCCCUUACUCCAAAUGCCCAGCUGAUCCAACAGCACCAGUUUUCCAUGUCUUUUGCACAGCCUCUUCCCCACCCUGACCAGCCUCUGCUGGUGUCCUAAACAAGUUGGCACCUCUCCCCCUUGGCAGCUUCUCCAGAAGGACCAGGAGUGACCCUCAGUGAUGUUCAGCUGCAACUGUCAUGGUCUCCGAGACCAAGCAUCAGCACUCUUGGCUACCAAUCCAGACCUCAGGCCUGUGGCCAAUGGGUCAGGGAGAAUACCCUUGCUGCUUCACAGACAAGGUGUGAGCCAGAACAUGGGCUUACCAGGGCUGUGAGGCUUGCUUGUGCUUUGCUGGAACCCCUCUCAGCUCCCCGUGCCAGGUACGGUCUGGAAGGUCUGUCUCUGGGCCUGCUAUGCACUGUUCCUGUCCAUCUACAUUCCUCCCUGGCCCAGGUGACACAGGCAA